CCUACGGGAGGCAGCAGUGAGGAAUAUUGGUCAAUGGGCGCGAGCCUGACCCAGCGAAGUAGCGUGAAGGAUGACUGCCCUCCGGGUUGUAAACUUCUUUUAUAGAGAAAUAAAGUGCGGCAAGUGUGCCUUUUUGUAUGUACUUUAUGAAUAAGGAUCGGCUAAGUCCGUGCCAGCAGCCGCGGUAAUACGGAGGUUCCGAGCGUUAUUGGGAUUUUUUGGGUUUAACGGGAUCGUAGAUGGGUUGUUAAGUCAGUUGUGAAAGUUUGCGGCUCAACCGUAAAAUUGCCAUUGAUACUAGCAGCCUUGAGUACAGUUGAGGAAUGCGGAAUUCGUGGUGUAGCGGUGAAAUGCUUAGAUAUCACGAAGAACACCAGUGGCGAAGGCGGCUUGCUGGACAGUAACUGACGUUGAGGCUCGAAAGCGUGGGGAGCAAACAGGAGUAGAUACCCCUGUAGUC
rnacentral:rRNA from 1 species